UACGUAGGGGGCAAGCGUUGUCCGGAUUUAUUGGGCGUAAAGAGCGUGUAGGCGGCCAUACAGGUCAGCUGUGAAAACUCGAGGCUCAACCUCGAGACGUCGGUUGAAACCGUUUGGCUAGAGUCCGGAAGAGGAGAGUGGAAUUCCCGGUGUAGCGGUGAAAUGCGCAGAUAUCGGGAAGAACACCCGUGGCGAAGGCGGCUCUCUGGGACGGUACCGACGCUGAGACGCGAAAGCGUGGGGAGCGAACAGG
rnacentral:rRNA from 1 species